GGCUGUGUGCAACCGCGCCAUCCCGCAGGCCGGCGCCGCGCGGUAGCGCGGUUCCGCAGCAGGGACAUGCGCCACCCGUUACAGCCAACUAAAAUUUGCACUGAUUUGAUUACAUGCGCACGUAUAUAUGCUCUGCACGCAAUGUAUAUAUGCAGUGCAUGCAGCGUGUGUGCGCUGUACCUGGAUUCGGUCGCGCGCGGCCGUGCUGCGGAACCGCGCGG
rnacentral:miRNA from 1 species